rnacentral:rRNA from 1 species
GAUGAACGCUGGCGGCGUGCCUAAUACAUGCAAGUAGAACGCUGAAGGAGGAGCUUGCUCUUUCCGGCUGAGUUGCGAACGGGUGAGUAACGCGUAGGUAACCUGCCUGGUAGCGGGGGAUAACUAUUGGAAACGAUAGCUAAUACCGCAUAACAGUAGAUAUUGCAUGAUAUUUGCUUGAAAGGGGCAAUUGCUCCACUACCAGAUGGACCUGCGUUGUAUUAGCUAGUUGGUGCGGUAACGGCUCACCAAGGCGACGAUACAUAGCCGACCUGGGAGGGUGGUCGGCCACACUUGGACUGGGAAACGGCCCAGACUCCCACGGGAGGCAGCAGGAGGGAAACUUUGGACAUGGACGGAAGUCUGACCGAGCAAAGCCGCGUGAGGGGAGAAGGGUUUCGGAUUGGAAAGGUCGGUUUUAAGGGAAGAAAGAGUGUGAGAGUGGAAAGUUCACACUGUGACGGUAUCUGACCAGAAAGGGACGGCUAACUACGUG